GAAAACAAUUGCAUUUUAUCAAUGGCAAUUUGAAUGCACAGAGAUACCAUGACGAGAUCCUGAGGCCCGCCAAUAUCCAGCAACUUCGCACAGCCAUUGAAGAGGAGUGGGACAACAUUCCACAGGCCACAAGCCUGAUCAAUUCUAUGCGAAGGAGAUGUGUCGCGCUGCAUGAGGCAAACAGUUGCCACACCAGAUACUGACUGGUUUCCUGAUUCAUGCCCCUACCUUUGAUUUUUCAAGGUAUCUGUGACCAACAGAUGCAUAUCUGUAUUCCCAUUCAUAUGAAAUCCAUAGAUUAGGGCCAAAUGAAUUCAUUUAAAUUGACGGAUUUCCUUAUAUGAACUGAAACUCAGUAAAAUCUUUGAAAUUGUUACAUGUUGCACUUAUAUUUUUCUUCAGUGUAAUAAUCACAUUCUUGUAGUAGGGCAGUGUCUCGAUUAUCUUCCAGUUGAUGGCAGUCUCUUUAGGGUGCACACUUGGGCCAUCUGGACCUUGGCCACCUGCCAGAACCUCUUGUGCUCCACCAGGGUCUCCUGCAUCUCCCUCAGCAGCAGACAAAGUGUACAGUUGGGUGCCAGAGUGAUCCCCUGGUCAUGAAUGAUGCUGGGACCUAACAGAAGCAGCAACGAGUCUCCCUCAACUCCUAUAAAAAGGACACAUCAUCAUGAGGCCUCUGAUAGUGACCCGAGUUACUGCCUUGAUGAAAGACUGCUUCAUCGACGACAGGCUCUCCCAGUCAACACCAUCUCAUAAGAUUGCCUGCUGCAGUUGUUCAAGAGAUGUCCAGUCUGAGCCGAAUAUGCAGCACAGAGAAGACCAACAAGGAGGCUCUCAUCAACGUCCAGGGCAUAACCUAGUCUGGUAGAAUCAGCCUGAUCGCUGUGUUCACCAUUCUAUUUCACUGCACACUUAUGAUAUCUGAAGUGAAACAGAAAGGUGAAUGAAGCAAUCAGGUUGGUUCCCCCAGGCUAAUCAUAACCAUUAUUGAUCAGUGGUGU
rnacentral:lncRNA from 1 species